rnacentral:rRNA from 1 species
GGCGAACGCUGGCGGCGUGCUUAACACAUGCAAGUCGAACGGCAAGGCCCUGCUUUUGUGGGGUGCUCGAGUGGCGAACGGGUGAGUAACACGUGAGUAACCUGCCCUUGACUUUGGGACAACUUCAGGAAACUGGGGCUAAUACCGGCUAGGAGCUCCUGCUGCAUGGUGGGGGUUGGAAAGUUUCGGCGGUUGGGGAUGGAUUCGCGGCUUAUCAGCUUGUUGGUGGGGGAGUGGCUUACCAAGGCUUUGACGGGUAGCCGGCAUGGGCGGGUGACCGGGGACCUUGGUCCUGAGAUACGGAGCAGUGGCGUAUGGUGGGCAACGGUGGGGAAUAUUGCACAAUGGGGGGGCGCGUGAUGCGGCAGCGCCGCGGUCGGGAUGCCGGCCUUCGGGUUGUGAACCGCAUUCGCCUAUGACGAAGCGUGAGUGACGGUAAUGGGUAAAGAAGCACCGGCUAACUACGUG